rnacentral:tRNA from 1 species
GGAGAAAUGGCAGAGCGGUCGAAUGCGGCAGUCUUGAAAACUGUUGUACUGCAAGGUACCGGGGGUUCGAAUCCCUCUUUCUCCGCCA